GAUGAACGCUGGCGGCGUGCCUAAUACAUGCAAGUCGAGCGAACAGACGAGGAGCUUGCUCCUCUGACGUUAGCGGCGGACGGGUGAGUAACACGUGGAUAACCUACCUAUAAGACUGGGAUAACUUCGGGAAACCGGAGCUAAUACCGGAUAAUAUAUUGAACCGCAUGGUUCAAUAGUGAAAGACGGUUUUGCUGUCACUUUUAGAUGGAUCCGCGCCGCAUUAGCUAGUUGGUAAGGUAACGGCUUACCAAGGCAACGAUGCGUAGCCGACCUGAGAGGGUGAUCGACCACACUGGAACUGAGACACGGUCCAGACUCCUACGGGAGGCAGCAGUAGGGAAUCUUCCGCAAUGGGCGAAAGCCUGACGGAGCAACGCCACGUGAGUGAUGAAGGUCUUCGGAUCGUAAAACUCUGUUAUUAGGGAAGAACAAAUGUGUAAGUAACUAUGCACGUCUUGACGGUACCUAAUCAGAAAGCCACGGCUAACUACGUG
rnacentral:rRNA from 1 species